AGCGAACGCUGGCGGCGUGCUUAACACAUGCAAGUCGAGCGAAGGUGUUUCAAGGGUAACCUUGAGAUACACUUAGCGGCGGACGGGUGAGUAAUACGUGGAUAACUUACCUCUAGGCCUGGGAUAACCCCGGGAAACUGGGGCUAAUACCUGAUAAGACCACAUUGUCUACGGACAAAGGGGUAAAAGGUGGCUGUGCAAACAGCUAUCGCCAAAAG
rnacentral:rRNA from 1 species